CUUUACUUAAUCAUAAACAUGAAACCUAGUCAUAUUUGACUCCAAAACAGUAACAAAACUUCUUCUUGCUUCUCAAAGCUUUGAUGGUGUAGGCAAAGUCCGUAUGAGUCUUUGGCUUUGUAUCUUCUAACAAGGAAACACUACUUAGGCUUUAAAGAUCCGGUUGCGGUUCUAGUUCUUAUACUCAAUCAUAAA
rnacentral:sRNA from 1 species